GUAUAAAUAGGGGCUUAACUUCUUUAAUGCCCAGACCAGGGCCAAACAUUCCUUCUCCACUGCCGCAUAACUCACUUCCCGAGGUAGUAACUUUCUGCUGAGAUAUGCGACAGGGUGCUUUCCUCCAUCCUCCCUGACUUGGCUUAGCACAGCCCCCAGUCCAUACAUGGAAGCAUCUGUAUGGAUGAGAAAGCGUUUGUUAGGGACUGGGGCAGCCAAGACAGGGGCUUUCACAAGAGCCUGCUUCAGUGCCUGAAACGCGGCUUCACAAGCUGGAGACCACAGGACCUGCUUCGGUAAAUUCUUCUUAG
rnacentral:lncRNA from 1 species